rnacentral:rRNA from 1 species
AAUAGAUACCCGGGUAGUCCACGCCCUAAACUAUGUCAACUAGUUGUCGGGGAAGAAAUUCCUUGGUAACGCAGCUAACGCGUGAAGUUGACCGCCUGGGGAGUACGGCCGCAAGGUUAAAACUCAAAGGAAUUGACGGGGACCCGCACAAGCGGUGGAUUAUGUGGAUUAAUUCGAUGCAACGCGAAAAACCUUACCUACCCUUGACAUGUACGGAAUUCCGCAGAGAUGUGGAAGUGCCCGAAAGGGAACCGUAACACAGGUGCUGCAUGGCUGUCGUCAGCUCGUGUCGUGAGAUGUUGGGUUAAGUCCCGCAACGAGCGCAACCCUUGCCAUUAGUUGCUACAUUCAGUUGGGCACUCUAAUGGGACCGCCGGUGACAAACCGGAGGAAGGUGGGGAUGACGUCAAGUCCUCAUGGCCCUUAUGGGUAGGGCUUCACACGUAAUACAAUGGUCGGUACAGAGGGCUGCCAACCCGCAAGGGGAGCUAAUCCCAGAAAGCCGAUCGUAGUCCGGAUUGUAGUCUGCAACUCGACUGCAUGAAGCCGG